UAGUCCACGCCGUAAACGAUGGAUACUAGCUGUCCGGCGCACAUUGGUGUGCUGGGCGGCCAAGCGAAAGUGAUAAGUAUCCCACCUGGGGAGUACGUUCGCAAGAAUGAAACUCAAAGGAAUUGACAGGGGCCCGCACAAGCGGUGGAGCAUGUGGUUUAAUUCGAUGAUACGCGAGGAACCUUACCAGGGCUUAAAUGCAUAACGACAGGCGCAGAGAUGUGCCCUCUUCGGGCGUUUUGCAAGGUGCUGCAUGGUUGUCGUCAGCUCGUGCCGUGAGGUGUCAGGUUAAGUCCUAUAACGAGCGCAACCCCUACCGUUAGUUGCCAGCAUGUCAUGAUGGGGACUCUAACGGGACUGCCGGUGCAAACCGCGAGGAAGUGGGGGACACGGUCAAAUCAUCACGGGCCCUUACGGUCCUGGGGCCACACACGUGCUACAAUGGCCGGUACAGCGGGGAA
rnacentral:rRNA from 1 species